UGAGGUGAUCUCGUUUGUUAUUUUAUCUUUCUCGAUCACUUCAGAUUUCGCCCCUGCUCCUUUUGCAGACGGGCUCAUGAUGCUCACGUUUCUCCCACCCGUUUGUCUCGUGU
rnacentral:ribozyme from 1 species